rnacentral:rRNA from 1 species
UACGAAGGGGGCUAGCGUUGUUCGGAAUCACUGGGCGUAAAGCGCACGUAGGCGGAUCGAUAAGUCAGGGGUGAAUUCCCGAGGCUCAACCUCGGAACUGCCUUUGAUACUGUCGACCUUGAGUCCGGGAGAGGUGAGUGGAACUCCGAGUGUAGAGGUGAAAUUCGUAGAUAUUCGGAAGAACACCAGUGGCGAAGGCGGCUCACUGGCCCGGUACUGACGCUGAGGUGCGAAAGCGUGGGGAGCAAAC